AGCAGCCGCGGUAAUUCCAGCUCCAAUAGCGUAUAUUAAAGUUGUUGCAGUUAAAAAGCUCGUAGUUGAAUUUCGGGAUCAACACGUCGGUCGUGCCUUCGGUACGCACUAACGUCGUUGGUUCCUCCCUUCUGACGAACCAUGAUGUCAUUAACUUGGUGUUUUGGGGAGUUAGGACUGUUACUUUGAAAAAAUUAGAGUGUUUAAAGCAGGCAAUCGCUUGAAUACAUUAGCAUGGAAUAAUGAAAUAGGACGUUCGAUCCUAUUUCGUUGGUUUCUAGGAUCAACGUAAUGAUUAAUAGGGAUAGUUGGGGGCAUUAGUAUUCAAUUGUCAGAGGUGAAAUUCUUGGAUUUAUUGAAGACUAACUACUGCGAAAGCAUUUGCCAAGGAUGUUUUCAUUAAUCAAGAACGAAAGUUAGGGGAUCGAAGACGAUCAGAUACCGUCGUAGUCUUAACCAUAAACUAUGCCAACUAGGGAUCGGAUGAUGUUAAUUUUUUAAUGACUCAUUCGGCGCCUUACG
rnacentral:rRNA from 1 species